AGUGAACGCUGGCGGUAGGCCUAACACAUGCAAGUCGAACGGCAGCACAGUAAGAGCUUGCUCUUACGGGUGGCGAGUGGCGGACGGGUGAGGAAUACAUCGGAAUCUACUUUUUCGUGGGGGAUAACGUAGGGAAACUUACGCUAAUACCGCAUACGACCUACGGGUGUAAGCAUGGGAUCUUCGGACCUUGCGCGAUUGAAUGAGCCGAUGUCGGAUUAGCUAGUUGGCGGGGUAAAGGCCCACCAAGGCGACGAUCCGUAGCUGGUCUGAGAGGAUGAUCAGCCACACUGGAACUGAACCACGGUCCAGACUACUACGGGAGGCAGCAGUGGGGAAUAUUAGACAAUAGGCGCAAGCCUGAUCCAGCCAUACCGCGUGGGUGAAGAAGGCCUUCGGGUUGUAAAGCCCUUUUGUUGGGAAAGAAAAGCAGCAGGUUAAUACCCCGCUGUUCUGACGGUACCCAAAGAAUAAGCACCGGCUAACUUCGUG
rnacentral:rRNA from 1 species